rnacentral:tRNA from 1 species
UUAGCUCAGUUGGUAGAGCAGUUGACUUUUAAUCAAUUGGUCGCAGGUUCGAAUCCA